GGAAAACGAUUCAUAUAUCUGACCCCAACUAAUUAAGCAAUACGAUAAUGAUUUAAAAAAAGUAUAUCAAAGCUAGUCCAUAUUAGAAACAACAGCCAACUUGGACAAGAUGAACCACAAAGAAACAAUAACCAAACAGGAACACAUAUAACCAAACCUUCUAUCUAUCCUAUAACUAUGCAAGUUAUAAUAAGUCCAAGAAACCCACACACCUCCUCUGGAGUCCAGCCACCUU
rnacentral:misc_RNA from 1 species